rnacentral:lncRNA from 1 species
UCCUAUCUUGAGUUCCUCCAAACCCAUCUACCAUUCAACUUACAAUACCCCAUAUGAUGAAGAGACCAUUCGUUGUAGGUAUUUGAGUUUCUCAGAACUCAGGUGGUCUCCCCCCAAGAGCCACACCAUACUCUCUAAAUACCAAGGUGAGUGCCAUACCAUAUGGAAGAUGUGAAUCACAUGGAAACAAAGUCAAACCUACCAAUCUUUGGAAAGAGAAUCCGCCUGAUGAUAUGGUGAAGUAGCCUCAUCUCAGAAGACAACUAGUUUGCCAAGAUCUCCUCCAGAAUAUCAACUUAUUGCCUCUCUAGGAUGACUUAUAGAGCUACCACUCAAUCAAAUAGACAACCAGCUUGGUGUAGCUCCCUACCUCAACAACUGAAGGAUCUGUGUUAACCACUUCUCAGUCAAGAUGAUGCACAUGCCCUUCAUCGAACACUCAAUACCUCC